AUGGCAUAUAGCCAGCUCCAGCAUUCUCUUCCUUGGCAGGUGUAACUGGCAGCACAGAGCAUAAAUGAAGGCCUGGUCUACACCACAAAUGAGGGAGCCAUUGGAUUUGUGAGUCCCUGGUAAAGAUUCUGUGGCUAUGGUCAUCCCCGACCUUCUAAUGCAGAGGUAGACGUACCUUGUGAAGGGCAAAUCUCUUUCCAAGUGGGGAAAACAUCAAACCAUGAAGUGAAAUGAAAGCAGAAAAUACUCAAGACAAUAUUAAAUGGAGAGCAGGUGGAGGUGGUGAACAUCAGUAUUGACUAUCCACAGCAGCAGCAGCAAGAACUGCUGACAAGGAUCUUUGAGAUGCUUGUUAUUCACAGAAUGUAUGCAGCGUGUGUGUGAACCCAAGAGACUAUCCCAUACUAUUCAUCAAGUGAAGUAGCUGGAUUUCAGUGCAUCCAGUUUGAUCUAUAACCACCACAAAAUGAUUAUUCAUGCAGCUACCUUGUUGCUAGGGAUUCCUACAACUGUAGCAUGGUAAGGAAUCACAGGUUUCAUAAAAAAUUCACUUGACAGGAAGGUGAAUGGUUUGCUACUUUUGGAUACACCAGUGUGUAUAGGAUCUUUAGUACCAGAAAUGCCCAAAGCAUUUCACACAAAAUAAAUGGAUGUCAAGAAAAAUGAAGAAUUGGGGCGGGGAAAAAGAACUGAUGGUACAGUCGAUUUUAAAGAAUCAGAGUUGGGUUUAAUAUCACUGACUUGUGUCAUGAAAUUUGUUAUAUUGCAGCAGCAGUACAUUGCAAUACAUAAUUAAACUAUCAAUUGCAAUAAGUACUGUCUAUAUAUAAAAAUUUAAAUAAAAUAAA